rnacentral:rRNA from 1 species
AUACGGAGGAUGCGAGCGUUAUCCGGAUUUAUUGGGUUUAAAGGGUGCGUAGGCUGUGCGUUAAGUCAGGGGUGAAAUGCCGUCGCUCAACGACGGAGCUGCCCUUGAUACUGGCGUGCUGGAGUGCGGAAGCCGGUGGUGGAAUGGGUGGUGUAGCGGUGAAAUGCUUAGAUAUCACUCAGAACACCGAUUGCGAAGGCAUCUGACGAAUCCGUCACGGACGCUGAGGCACGAAAGCGUGGGGAUAGAACAGGAUUAGAUACCCUGGUAUUCCACGCCGUAAACGAUGAUGACUAACCGUCGGCGAUAGACAGCCGGUAGCCAAGCGAAAGCGAUAAGUCAUCCACCUGGGGAGUACGUCGGCAACGAUGAAACUCAAAGGAAUUGACGGGG